rnacentral:rRNA from 1 species
CGCGGCCUAUCAGCUUGUUGGUGAGGUAAUGGCUUACCAAGGCUUCGACGGGUAACCGGCCUGAGAGGGUGACCGGUCACACUGGGACUGAGACACGGCCCAGACUCCUACGGGAGGCAGCAGUGGGGAAUAUUGCACAAUGGGCGAAAGCCUGAUGCAGCGACGCCGCGUGAGGGAUGACGGCCUUCGGGUUGUAAACCUCCUUCAGUCAGGAACAAGCCUUCGGGUGAGGGUACUGGCAGAAGAAGCACCGGCUAACUACGUGCCAGCAGCCGCGGUAAUACGUAGGGUGCGAGCGUUAUCCGGAAUUAUUGGGCGUAAAGAGCUUGUAGGCGGUUUGUCGCGUCUGCUGUGAAAGCCCGGGGCUUAACUCCGGGUCUGCAGUGGGUACGGGCAGGCUAGAGUGAUGUAGGGGUAACUGGAAUUCCUGGUGUAGCGGUGGAAUGCGCAGAUAUCAGGAAGAACACCGAUGGCGAAGGCAGGUUACUGGGCAUUUACUGACGCUGAGAAGCGAAAGCAUGGGGAGCGAACAGGAUUAGAUACCCUGGUAGUCCAUGCCGUAAACGUUGGGCACUAGGUGUGGGGAGCAUUCCACGUUUUCCGCGCCGUAGCUAACGCAUUAAGUGCCCCGCCUGGGGAGUACGG